rnacentral:rRNA from 1 species
GGGUUGUGAGGUUAAGCGACUAAGCGUACACGGUGGAUGCCCUGGCAGUCAGAGGCGAUGAAGGACGUGCUAAUCUGCGAUAAGCGUCGGUAAGGUGAUAUGAACCGUUAUAACCGGCGAUUUCCGAAUGGGGAAACCCAGUGUGUUUCGACACACUAUCAUUAACUGAAUCCAUAGGUUAAUGAGGCGAACCGGGGGAACUGAAACAUCUAAGUACCCCGAGGAAAAGAAAUCAACCGAGAUUCCCCCAGUAGCGGCGAGCGAACGGGGAGCAGCCCAGAGCCUGAAUCAGUGUGUGUGUUAGUGGAAGCGUCUGGAAAGGCGCGCGAUACAGGGUGACAGCCCCGUACACAAAAAUGCACAUACUGUGAGCUCGAUGAGUAGGGCGGGACACGUGGUAUCCUGUCUGAAUAUGGGGGGACCAUCCUCCAAGGCUAAAUACUCCUGACUGACCGAUAGUGAACCAGUACCGUGAGGGAAAGGCGAAAAGAACCCCGGCGAGGGGAGUGAAAAAGAACCUGAAACCGUGUACGUACAAGCAGUGGGAGCCUCUUUAUGGGGUGACUGCGUACCUUUUGUAUAAUGGGUCAGCGACUUAUAUUCUGUAGCAAGGUUAACCGAAUAGGGGAGCCGAAGGGAAACCGAGUCUUAACUGGGCGUUAAGUUGCAGGGUAUAGACCCGAAACCCGGUGAUCUAGCCAUGGGCAGGUUGAAGGUUGGGUAACACUAACUGGAGGACCGAACCGACUAAUGUUGAAAAAUUAGCGGAUGACUUGUGGCUGGGGGUGAAAGGCCAAUCAAACCGGGAGAUAGCUGGUUCUCCCCGAAAGCUAUUUAGGUAGCGCCUCGUGAAUUCAUCUCCGGGGGUAGAGCACUGUUUCGGCAAGGGGGUCAUCCCGACUUACCAACCCGAUGCAAACUGCGAAUACCGGAGAAUGUUAUCACGGGAGACACACGGCGGGUGCUAACGUCCGUCGUGAAGAGGGAAACAACCCAGACCGCCAGCUAAGGUCCCAAAGUCAUGGUUAAGUGGGAAACGAUGUGGGAAGGCCCAGACAGCCAGGAUGUUGGCUUAGAAGCAGCCAUCAUUUAAAGAAAGCGUAAUAGCUCACUGGUCGAGUCGGCCUGCGCGGAAGAUGUAACGGGGCUAAACCAUGCACCGAAGCUGCGGCAGCGACACUGUGUGUUGUUGGGUAGGGGAGCGUUCUGUAAGCCUGUGAAGGUGGCCUGUGAGGGUUGCUGGAGGUAUCAGAAGUGCGAAUGCUGACAUAAGUAACGAUAAAGCGGGUGAAAAGCCCGCUCGCCGGAAGACCAAGGGUUCCUGUCCAACGUUAAUCGGGGCAGGGUGAGUCGACCCCUAAGGCGAGGCCGAAAGGCGUAGUCGAUGGGAAACAGGUUAAUAUUCCUGUACUUGGUGUUACUGCGAAGGGGGGACGGAGAAGGCUAUGUUGGCCGGGCGACGGUUGUCCCGGUUUAAGCGUGUAGGCUGAUUUUCCAGGCAAAUCCGGAAAAUCAAGGCUGAGGCGUGAUGACGAGGCACUACGGUGCUGAAGCAACAAAUGCCCUGCUUCCAGGAAAAGCCUCUAAGCAUCAGGUAACAUCAAAUCGUACCCCAAACCGACACAGGUGGUCAGGUAGAGAAUACCAAGGCGCUUGAGAGAACUCGGGUGAAGGAACUAGGCAAAAUGGUGCCGUAACUUCGGGAGAAGGCACGCUGAUAUGUAGGUGAAGUCCCUCGCGGAUGGAGCUGAAAUCAGUCGAAGAUACCAGCUGGCUGCAACUGUUUAUUAAAAACACAGCACUGUGCAAACACGAAAGUGGACGUAUACGGUGUGACGCCUGCCCGGUGCCGGAAGGUUAAUUGAUGGGGUUAGCGGUAACGCGAAGCUCUUGAUCGAAGCCCCGGUAAACGGCGGCCGUAACUAUAACGGUCCUAAGGUAGCGAAAUUCCUUGUCGGGUAAGUUCCGACCUGCACGAAUGGCGUAAUGAUGGCCAGGCUGUCUCCACCCGAGACUCAGUGAAAUUGAACUCGCUGUGAAGAUGCAGUGUACCCGCGGCAAGACGGAAAGACCCCGUGAACCUUUACUAUAGCUUGACACUGAACAUUGAGCCUUGAUGUGUAGGAUAGGUGGGAGGCUUUGAAGUGUGGACGCCAGUCUGCAUGGAGCCGACCUUGAAAUACCACCCUUUAAUGUUUGAUGUUCUAACGUUGGCCCCUGAUCGGGGUUGCGGACAGUGUCUGGUGGGUAGUUUGACUGGGGCGGUCUCCUCCUAAAGAGUAACGGAGGAGCACGAAGGUUGGCUAAUCCUGGUCGGACAUCAGGAGGUUAGUGCAAUGGCAUAAGCCAGCUUGACUGCGAGCGUGACGGCGCGAGCAGGUGCGAAAGCAGGUCAUAGUGAUCCGGUGGUUCUGAAUGGAAGGGCCAUCGCUCAACGGAUAAAAGGUACUCCGGGGAUAACAGGCUGAUACCGCCCAAGAGUUCAUAUCGACGGCGGUGUUUGGCACCUCGAUGUCGGCUCAUCACAUCCUGGGGCUGAAGUAGGUCCCAAGGGUAUGGCUGUUCGCCAUUUAAAGUGGUACGCGAGCUGGGUUUAGAACGUCGUGAGACAGUUCGGUCCCUAUCUGCCGUGGGCGCUGGAGAACUGAGGGGGGCUGCUCCUAGUACGAGAGGACCGGAGUGGACGCAUCACUGGUGUUCGGGUUGUCAUGCCAAUGGCACUGCCCGGUAGCUAAAUGCGGAAGAGAUAAGUGCUGAAAGCAUCUAAGCACGAAACUUGCCCCGAGAUGAGUUCUCCCUGACUCCUUGAGAGUCCUGAAGGAACGUUGAAGACGACGACGUUGAUAGGCCGGGUGUGUAAGCGCAGCGAUGCGUUGAGCUAACCGGUACUAAUGAACCGUGAGGCUUAACCUUACAACGCCGAAG